UUCAUGCACUCUUCACCAUAUCUAGAACAUCCCACAUAAGGAUCAAAGAAUCAAGUUAGGUAGUGAACCAAAAUAUGGAUUCAUGUACAUAAGGUACCAUGAUGACCUCAGGUCUAAGGAUCACUUACACAACUCCUACUAGAGAAUCAUCAGUUGACAUAUAAAUAAAACUUUAUCUGAUAUUCUCUCAUAGGUCAAUUCAAUGAACUCAUUUUCUAAUGAGCACCCAUAUUCUUGUAUUAGUAUCAUCACACAAGCGGUUGUGAGAUCAACCACCCCC
rnacentral:lncRNA from 1 species